rnacentral:misc_RNA from 1 species
UGUGGGAGCUGGCUUGCCAGCGAUGGCGGUGUGUCAGUCACUAUUUGUGUUGAAUGUGCCGGCCUCAUCGCUGGCAAGCCAGCUCCCACA